CAAAAGGGCUCUGCGUUACUUACGCAAGCCGGAUAGAGAUGUUCGGCUCGGAAUGGUAAUCAAGACAUUUCGAGAGCGUAUUCUUUGCACUUGGCCUGCCCGAAAAUUACGGGCGGCCGU
rnacentral:snRNA from 1 species